rnacentral:rRNA from 3 species
AAGGAUCAUUACCGAGUGAGGGCCCUCUGGGUCCAACCUCCCACCCGUGUUUAUUUUACCUUGUUGCUUCGGCGGGCCCGCCUUAACUGGCCGCCGGGGGGCUUACGCCCCCGGGCCCGCGCCCGCCGAAGACACCCUCGAACUCUGUCUGAAGAUUGAAGUCUGAGUGAAAAUAUAAAUUAUUUAAAACUUUCAACAACGGAUCUCUUGGUUCCGGCAUCGAUGAAGAACGCAGCGAAAUGCGAUACGUAAUGUGAAUUGCAAAUUCAGUGAAUCAUCGAGUCUUUGAACGCACAUUGCGCCCCCUGGUAUUCCGGGGGGCAUGCCUGUCCGAGCGUCAUUGCUGCCCUCAAGCCCGGCUUGUGUGUUGGGCCCCGUCCCCCGAUCUCCGGGGGACGGGCCCGAAAGGCAGCGGCGGCACCGCGUCCGGUCCUCGAGCGUAUGGGGCUUUGUCACCCGCUCUGUAGGCCCGGCCGGCGCUUGCCGAUCAACCCAAAUUUUUAUCCAGGUUGACCUCGGAUCAGGUAGGGAUACCCGCUGAACUUAA